rnacentral:tRNA from 1 species
UGGUACUGAUGGUCGGACUCGAACCGACAUGAGUAUUGCUCGCUUGAUUUUGAGUCAAGUGCGUCUACCAUUCCGCCACAUCAGC